rnacentral:rRNA from 1 species
UACGUAGGGUGCGAGCGUUAAUCGGAAUUACUGGGCGUAAAGCGUGCGCAGGCGGUGAUGUAAGACAGGGGUGAAAUCCCCGGGCUUAACCUGGGAACUGCAUUUGUGACUGCAUCGCUGGAGUGCGGCAGAGGGGGAUGGAAUUCCUGGUGUAGCGGUGAAAUGCGCAGAUAUCAGGAGGAACACCGGUGGCGAAGGCGGCAUCCUGGACCGGUAUUGACGCUGAGGCGCGAAAGCCAGGGGAGCAAACGGG